rnacentral:piRNA from 1 species
UACAAAUGCCUCUAUCACAACUUGGUAAGC